UACGGAGGGUGCAAGCGUUAUCCGGAUUUACUGGGUUUAAAGGGUGUGUAGGCGGGUCUUUUAAGUCAGUGGUGAAAUCUCCGAGCUUAACUUGGAAACUGCCAUUGAUACUAUUGGUCUUGAAUUUUGUUGAGGUAGGCGGAAUAAGUCAUGUAGCGGUGAAAAUGCAUAGAUAUGACUUUAGAACACCAAAUUGCGAAAGGCAGCUUGCUAAAACAAAAUAUUUGACGCUGAGGCACGAAAAGCGUGGGGGAUCAAAACAGG
rnacentral:rRNA from 1 species